UACGUAGGGGGCAAGCGUUGUCCGGAUUCAUUGGGCGUAAAGAGCGUGUAGGCGGCCUGGAAGGUCAGCUGUGAAAACUCGAGGCUCAACCUCGAGACGUCGGUUGAAACCACCUGGCUAGAGUCCGGAAGAGGAGUGUGGAAUUCCCGGUGUAGCGGUGAAAUGCGUAGAUAUCAGGAGGAACACCGGUGGUGUAGACGGCUUUCUGGACCGACACUGACGCUGAGACACGAAAGCGUGGGUAGCAAACAGG
rnacentral:rRNA from 1 species